rnacentral:tRNA from 1 species
UCUCUGUUAGUAUAUCGGUUAGUACACGCGCCUGUCAUCAAUUAUGGCCGCGCGAAAGCGGGGUUCGACUCCCCGACAGAGAG